rnacentral:rRNA from 1 species
GCGACCGCACCGCAUCGGAAACACCGGUUCUCGUCUGACCAUCGAAGUUGAGCAUAGUCGGGCCCGGUUAGCACAUGCAUGGGUGACCGGCUGGGAAUAUCGGGUUUUGCGACCGUCC